rnacentral:rRNA from 1 species
UACGAAGGGGGCUAGCGUUGCUCGGAAUCACUGGGCGUAAAGGGUGCGUAGGCGGGUCUUUAAGUCAGGGGUGAAAUCCUGGAGCUCAACUCCAGAACUGCCUUUGAUACUGAGGAUCUUGAGUUCGGGAGAGGUGAGUGGAACUGCGAGUGUAGAGGUGAAAUUCGUAGAUAUUCGCAAGAACACCAGUGGCGAAGGCGGCUCACUGGCCCGAUACUGACGCUGAGGCGCGAAAGCGUGGGAGCAAACAGGG